CUAAAAAUGUGAAGAGAAGGCUUGGAGGAAGGAGGACUCAACUGUGAAGUUUCCAAACCACUGCUUUAGAUUUUAUGAUGCUGAUGUUAUCAUGAG